rnacentral:rRNA from 1 species
UGGGGAAUUUUGCACAAUGGGGGAAACCCUGAUGCAGCGACGCCGCGUGAUUUAGAAGGCCUUCGGGUUGUAAAAAUCUUUUGUAUGGGAAGAAAAUGACAGUACCAUACGAAUAAGGACCGGCUAAUUACGUGCCAGCAGCCGCGGUAAUACGUAGGUGGCGAGCGUUAUCCGGAUUUACUGGGUGUAAAGGGCGUGCAGGCGGGCUGAUAAGUCAGAUGUGAAAUCCCCGAGCUUAACUCGGGAACUGCAUCUGAUACUGUUGGUCUUGAGUGCUGGAGAGGAUAGUGGAAUUCCUAGUGUAGCGGUAAAAUGCGCAGAUAUUAGGAGGAACACCAGUGGCGAAGGCGGCUAUCUGGACAGUAACUGACGCUGAGGCGCGAAAGCGUGGGUAGCAAACAGG